rnacentral:rRNA from 1 species
UGCAUGAAGUCGGAAUUGCUAGUAAUCGCGGAUCAGAAUGCCGCGGUGAAUACGUUCCCGGGCCUUGUACACACCGCCCGUCGCACCAUGAGAGCCGGUAACACCCGAAGUCAGGAGCCUAACCGCAAGGAGGGCGCUGCCGAAGGUGGGAUUGGUAAUUGGGGUGAAGUCGUAACAAGGUAAC